GUACGGCCAAGGCGGAUGUACGGUACAGCACAUUGCACUCCGGCCGUGCUGACCCCUGCGAAUUCCCCAAAUGUGGGAAUCUCGACUGCAUAAGUUAUGGUAGUGGGGGACUGCGUUCGCGCUCUCCCCUG
rnacentral:snRNA from 1 species